AUUGAAUAAGUUUUUUUUAUUAGUUUACACAUUUUUACGUAGCUAUUUAGAUCGUCAGAUCAUCGCACUCUCUUGUCGCUUCGGAUGAUGACUGUCGUCCGGAAACAACAAUUAUAACACUACUGUACUAAGUUUAGACUUGGCAGGUGUUUGGACCAAAGAGUUAAAAAAGUUAAAUAAAAGAUAUGGCCAUGAGACCACCUCUAAAUUGUCUCUGACACUGUUUUCCACGUCUUUACUCGUCACAUUAUUUGUUGCUCUUCAAAAUAUUAUGAUAAACAGAUAGAUAAUCAGGAAGUGCAGCUGUGAAAUUAUGUUGAUAUCAUCGAAUGAAAAAGUUCAUUUCUGUAUGUCAUAAGCUAGAAAGUGAUCUUUACCAAUUUUUUCUGAAAAAUUAUAGGGCAUACAUAUAAGUAUAGCCGACCAGGUGCGUGGGUCAUUGUCGUUGUCAAUUCUAAAAUAGUUUUGCAGUACGCGGUAAGCGAUCAGUAACUUGACUGAAAUGUCAGCUUGUAAGUAUUUAAGUCGCUGCGAGUCUAUUCAAGGCACUAAAAAUGCCAAACUACCUACGUCGGCUUGUUGUAUCUUCAACAUUUAUUGAACCCUUGACAAAUCGAUAGGUAUAAAAGUUCCAUAGGGAAUAAUGAGAACAACGAUUUUCGGGGUUUCUCCGUAGACCACGUCGUUUAGUCGUGUGGGAAGAUAAGAAAUAAAAGAAAAAACGAAAACUAAGACGAAUUGUAUUACCAUUUACUUUUCUACUUAUAAUCGCGUCAUUCGAUUUAACAUGUAUGUACAGCUUUCAACUUUCGAUGUAGCUAUACGUAUGAAGUAUUACGAAAUGAAUCGAAAUUAAAAAAAAGAAAAAAUUGGGCCACUAAAUUUCUCUUUGUCAAAUUGAAGUCAUUAAUCGACAUAAUACUGUCUCGAGAUUUGUUGAUAGUGAUACGUUGAUUCGUUGGUCGACUUAAAUUUAUACUAGCGAGUGGAUACACGCCGACGUACACCAGACGAUUUUCAAUAUCACAUUAAUUGGUUUUUUAUAAACUAUUACAACAUUUGUUGUAUAUUUGAUGAUAAGAUUACGUGAGUAAAAAUACGCGACAAUUCGUUUUCUUAAACGUUCACAUAUUGCAAAUUGUCUGAAGGAUUCUUUUCUCGGUUGUUUCUAUUCCAACAUCUGUUUUUAUUCAAACUAAUCGUUGUGAUAGAUAAGAAACUGAGGAAGAGUGAAUAAAUAAAUAAUAUAUCGGAAAAACGUAUGCAAACAGGAAAGAAAAAACAUGUUAAGCGUAUAUUACAACUCCAGUAUUUCAUGCAAACACAAUUCUUCGGUUCAUACCUCGCGUAUAGGUAUACGCAUAAUAGAACUUCGGACUAUACUCGAAGUUUCAAAUUAUAUCGACAAUUAAAUGUCAUCAUGCGGUUUAUAGGCAUAGGCAUAAGCAAAAUCCAUUCAUGGAAUAAUGGCUAUUUGAGUUGAAUGUGCGGUCUCCGAAGUUUAUUUAUAUCUAUAUUAUACAUAUUACUACCGAGCUUAAAGAUACGCCGCUGCUCGAGUGAUUCACUCGCACGGUGUAAUAAAUCUUUAAGGAAAACAGCUGUGCGAGUUUUACUUAUAUAUGUAAUAAUCUUUCAACUUUAUAUGUACAAUAGUUUACAUAGUCGUGAACAAGAAUAGGUGUACAGACGUUGAUAGUGAUAGCCGGAAUGGGAGACUAACGAGAAACUUCCGCGUUGAAAAACCUAAGGGUACAAGGGGACGAGGUCGCGACGCCCGAUGUCCUAGAAAAUAGUAAGAAACUUAAGGAUCCAGGACCCAGGUAUGAACUCGCGUUCUAGCUAUGCAGGGUGUGCUACAAUUUGCGGGAUCCCUGAUCCGUUCUAAGGAAACUUUUCGAAUUCUCAUGAUUUUCUUUACAAUAACAACAGCUGCUGUCAACGUAAUGCCGUGCCAUGCACGACGCAAGCGAAGGAAAUAUGAAAAGCUAAUUUUUUGAAAUUAGUUCAUCGCCGUAUUAAGGAGACUUGAAUCGCCGGUGAGCAUUUGUGACGAGGUUCGUCGCACCCACUAUACGACGUCGUUGACCCAAUAAAUGUAUCUCCAUGUACGUACAAUGUUUACCUGUUGAAUAUACAUAGUAUAUACUGCGCAAUAUGCUCUCGGGCAAUUCGCAGCAUCGCAACAUAUAGGAAAUAGAUCUCUUUGGAGAGCAAAUUCCUUCUCCCUCCCUUCUCCCUCGUCUCACACAUAUCGCACGCACCAUCGGUUAUAAUGUUGUCUCGUUCUCUAUAUACGUAUCUCUUAUUUUAUUACUGUCGUUUCUUUUUUAAUUGAAUUCUGUAAGUGGUUGUACAAAAAAUUAUGAAAAUCGGUGAAUCGAAAAAUGGCGAAUAUAAAAUCUCUGCAUCCGGUGUAAGAAUUAAUGAGAAGCUUUGGGCCAU